CAUUUGUCAAAGUUGGAAGAGAGGGAGGAAGAGAGCCAGGCAUACAGGAAUAUUGUAUGUUGCGUCUGUCUGCACCACUCUGCCCUCAGAGGUGGGCUGGGCAUUCCCAGCCCCUGCAUGGAGAAGUCGUCUGGCUAACUGCUAACUGCUGCUUUGGUGAUAGAUCUAAGGAUAGGCAGCUGCACACAUCACUCUUCUUACCCUCUUCCUGCAGAAAUCGUGGUCCCCACCAUCGAGGUUGAUCAAGACAGACACGUUUUCCUUUCCUCUCCCUGAGGACAGAGACCAAAUGGAAAUCAUGUCGUGUUAUUAUUUGUACACUAACUGAAAACUUUAUGACUUUUUGUAAAAAUAUAGACAAAUAUGUUGUCUGCCGAGAACGGAAGAUAAGAAACAAACCAAGUUAUUGGCAACAUUUCCCACGAGUUCCCUGUGAGCAAGAAUGAAUCAUUCAUUGGAUGUUCAGGCAACAACCACCACCAACCCUGCCU
rnacentral:lncRNA from 1 species